rnacentral:ncRNA from 1 species
GUUCACCCCAAAAACGAAAGUCUUGGUCCUGAACCUCACAUUAACUCCUCUCAAACCUAUACAUGCAAGCCUCCACAUGACAGUGAGUAAGUCUGCACACUCAAAUGACAACGUAGACACACAUCAGAUACCAUACUACAUAUAAUCAACUACGAACAGCCACACCACACCCACACGGGUACUCAGCAGUAACUAACAUUGGGCCAUAAGCGAAAGCUUGACCUAGUUAUGAGAUCCAGGGCCGGUAAACCUCGUGCCAGCUACCGCGGCUAUACGAGCGGCCCAAGAUAAUGUCAAACGGCGUAAAAAUGACUAGAAUAGAUCAACCAAUUAAGGAUUAAACACCAAACAGCUGUCCAACGCCAAACUCCAGCUGACACCUACACCACCUUAAUUUAUCAGACUGUUUCAAUCAUGAAAGCUGAGGCACAAACUAGGAUUAGACACCCUACUAUGCUCAAGCCGUAUCAUGGCAAUAUAGCCCGCCCGACUAGUACGAGUGAAAACUUAAAACUCAAAGGACUUGACGGUACCCCACAUCAGCCUAGAGGAGCCUGUCCCGUAAUCGAUAAUCCACGUUAACACCUCACCGCCCCUUGCCCAUCAGUCUAUAUACCGCCGUCGUCAGUCCGCCCCGUAAGGGUAAAACAGCGGGCACAACAGUCUUUCACUAAAACGACAGGUCAACGCGUAGCUUACGGGGCGGGUAAAGAUGGGCUACAUUUUCUUAAAAGAACACACAGCCAGCACAUGAAACACUCGCCUUAAAGGCGGAUUUAGCAGUAAGAUAAUACAGAAUAUCUAUCUGAACGCCGCACUGGGUUGCGCACACACCGCCCGUCACCCCCAUCAACAGACACCGCAGCAUACAUAAAUAGCCACACUAAUAAAAGAUGGGGAAAGUCGUAACAUGGUAAGCGUACUGGAAAGUGCGCUUGUACA